rnacentral:rRNA from 1 species
UACGUAGGGGGCGUGCGUUGUCCGGAAUUAUUGGGCGUAAAGGGUUCGCAGGCGGUUUUUUUAAGUCAGGUGUGAAAGGCAUAGGCUCAACCUGUGUAAGCACUUGAAACUGGAGGACUUGAGUUAAGGAGAGGAAAGUGGAAUUCCUAGUGUAGCGGUGAAAUGCGUAGAUAUUAGGAGGAAUACCAGUGGCGAAGGCGACUUUCUGGACUUAUACUGACGCUGAGGAACGAAAGCGUGGGGAGCAAACAGGAUUAGAUACCCUGGUAGUCCCUGAGCGGGCU